CAAAAUUUACACCCACCGCGCGCUCGCACUCAGCCCCGCCUAGCUGUCGACCGCCCACCUUUGCCUCGGCUCGCCGUCGCCAUCCUCCUCUCCCGCUACGGCGCCGCUUCCUCCUCUCCGGGCAUCGACACGAGUCUGCAGGUUGACUUCUUGGCACUUCUGUGACAUUAGAAGCUGAACCGCUGUUAACCACUCAUUUGCUACAGCCUGCGGUGCCUUGAUCUAUUCUGGUUAUUAGUCGCACUGAACUGAAGGUCACUCCUUUGCUGCGUCCUCCUCGGCUAUGAGUUUCGAGGAAGUGAGGCGACGACGCUUGGAGGCAUUGGUGGCUAGUUGUAUAAAGAAGUUCAGGACGAAGAAGCCUGAAGGGUACAAGGAGUGGUCAUGGCGGGAGAAGCCAUAUUGUGGUUGCGAUAUAUUUCCCGGUGUGCUGACCCAGGGAAACCGAAACGUCUGCCAAUUCUGUGCUGUCACAUCAGCUGGGCAAAUGGAGCUGAAUGCAAAGUUCGCCAAGUGGAGCAAAUCAACGUGCAGAUUGAGGUUUCAGUGGGAAUCACUUUUGACACGCUUUUUUGAGUUGAAUGGAUUCAUACCAGAAUCAGACCAUGGAGAAGAGGAGAGGAAAAUGAUGGAGCUAAAGUAUAUCGUUCAAGAUGAGUCUAUAUAUGAUUGGGAUGAUGCGAGUGCCUGGUGUUUCGAGAACCUAGGUGUGUUGGCUGAUGGUGACAAGGCAGUGGUGCAAUAUCCACUAAUGUCAGCCUCCAACAUGUAUAGGAGAUUCUCGACAACUACCGAUGAUAAGAUAAAGGAAAUCAUGGAGAACUCGCGUCUUGUGUCCAAGGAUAAUACUGAUGUCAACGUAGGAAUUGAUGGUUACAAGUAUUUCGAGGACCUGACACUGCAGGAGAUCUGGGACUACGUGGAAAACGGUAGAGCUGUUGUGGCUGGGGUUCUUGCCGGGAAGAAUUUUGACUAUCUUAAACCGGAUGAAAUUUAUGCAUGGAUUCCGAAGACCAAAGUUGAGAAUGGAGUGAGGAAAUGGUUUGAUAAACCAGUCGCUCACGCAAUAGUUCUGAUGGGAACGGGAACGCUGGACCUCUGAUGCAACAUGAGCAGUAUCAUCCCUUCCUCAAUUCCUAUGGAGAGGAAUAUGCUGGAGGUGGUGUUGGAUCUCUGUUUGCCAAGGCACUAUAUGGUGGAUUCACUCUCUUGGAAGUGAAUGACAAGCUAAAGCAUGUCAAAACCACAAUGUGUGACCUUAAUGAUGAUUUUCCUCGUCCAAAGCUGUACGAGGAUGGUCCUCCGUCUGCCACCUCCUCUUCACCUCCAGGCAUCCAUGCCGUCACUGCUCGUCCGGCUCCUCAUGUCGGGUCCCGUUCACUGCAACGCCUGGGGCGGUCUACUGCUGAGUACGACUCUGCCGUACCACUCUACCGCCCGCCUCCACUCCGCAAUCGCUUGCCCUGCCCAGAUGGAGAAAAGUGCGCAUAGACAGUGUGAAAUGAAGUAAUGAGAAGGUCCUGAUGUCCUCCUGAGUCGGAGUCUAUUUAUCCCAGCAGAUGUGCCUGCAGGUGCUCUGCCAACACUGCUAUGCUUUCCUGGAGAAUCUGAUGGCAUCGGGGACACAUACUACAAGGAAACAGUACACAACAUUCCUAUCAAGAGUUUAGUUUUGACAGGCCCUUCCCAACUUGGAGAAUGAUUUUGUCAGACUUCUCAAUAGCUCCCAUCGACAAGAAUAUAUGUGCUUCAUUCUGAUGACAUGAAGCUUCAAAAACAUGAUCAAUCUCCAGCGUAUAGUUAGUCGAGAUGAUGGGACUCCUCUUAUUUACUAGUCCAGAUUAUAUAUGGUUCUGUUGAUUUUUGCCACUGAUAAGGAAGCUCUUCAAAUGGAUGGUCUUGAUGUGUUGCACUUUUUGUUAAAGCAAUUGGCUGAGGCGAGCAGGGGCAGAGCUAGAGCAUUUGGAAGAUGGAUAUAUUAUUGGAUUAGAAAGUUGACAUCGUGCACAACUGGAUCGCGUUUAUGUAUUUACAGUGCAUGCCCAUGAAUUGUUUGGCAUGACGCUCUAUCUCCUACCGUACUUGGUUUUAAAUGUUGUUUGCUAUGGGACCUCAAAGGCUCAGCAAAGUAUCACCGACGGAAUUUUGUCACUUCUCAGUGCAGCUGCUUCGUUGGGGCUAUUGUCCAUGGUACUACUACUGUGGGACAGAGUGAUGUUUGCGUUCAGGCGAUCUUCGAUUUACUUGAUAAUCUUGGACAGUGGGUCGAUAACCUCAAACAGGAAAUUGCUCUAUCCCAGUCUAGUCAUGACAUGCCUGGGAAGCUUGCAGGUUAACUGAAAGAUGAAAGUUGUUCUAUUUACGGCCAAGAUCAGUUGCGGGUGCAGUGUAGCAAUGUUGCUGAGCUGUUGGCUGCUAUACCUUAAGUUACUCUAGCUAAGGCCACUUCUAGGUGUCAAGCUCAUGCUCGUGCUCUAGCAUAAUUCGAAUCUCAUGUCCGAGACAAGUGCCACUUUUUCAGAUGAUGAUAUCUCUUUUCUCAUGGAAAUAUACAGAUGAUUUUGAUGAGCCCGAUGGACUAUUAGGUUUUAGCAAAUCUGAGAAAUCAUCAAGCCUACAAAAUCAACUUAUCAUCAAUGAGGAAACUGGGAAGUGGGCUCAAGUGCUGACACUAUGUGAACAUUGUUUGCAAAUGGAACCUGAUACUGUCCACAGACAUUGUGAUGUUCUCAACUGUUCGCUAAACAUGUGCCACCUUCAAGCCAUGAUUGCACAUGCGGAUGGUUUGGUGUGCAGAAUACCCCAGGAUAAGAAAACUUGGUGCAUGCAAGGAGUGCAAGCAGCUUGGAGAUUAGGCAGAUGGGAUCUCAUGGAUGAGUACCUACCCGAGGCAGACAAAAGUCUUGUGUGCAGCAGUUCUGAGAACAGUGCUUCGUUUGACAUAGGUCUUGCUAAGAUAUUCAAGGCAAUGAUGAACACAGAUCAGUUUAUGGUUGCUGAAAAGAUUGCCCAGUCCAAGCAAGCAUUGCUUGUUCCAUUGGCUGCAGCAGGCAUGGACUCGUACAUGUGUGCAUAUCCCUACAUUGUAAAGCUUCACAUGCUGUGUGAGUUGGAAGACUUCAACUCCCUGCUGGGAGACGAGUCAUUUCUCGGUAAAACAUUCAGUGCAGAUGAUCCAAAAUUUCUGAAAUUAACAACAGACUGGGAUAACCGUCUUAGAUGUACACAAUCGUCUCUGUCAGCAAGGAAGCCUUUGCUUGCUUUUCAACGGAUGGUUUAUAAUCUGAGUCAUAUGAAUUCUCAAGUUGGGAACUGCUGGCUUCAGUACGCUAAACUCUGCCGUUUGGCUGGUCAUUAUGAGGCAGCUCACCGUGCAAUACUGGAAGCAGAUGCUUCGGCGUGCUCCUAACGUUCAUAUGGAGAAGGCAAAGCACCUCUGGAAUAUACAGAAUUUUGUUUCACAUGUAUUUUCUUCCCAUUAUUUCGACCCAUGUAGAGAUCUGAAUCAUCUGAUCAUCCCAUCUCAUUUGCAGAUGUUGAGCAUCAUUCACGGGUCCACGAGGGAUCUACCAACUUAUCAGUGGCUGACUGUGCUGUCUCAGUUGAUAUCCCGCAUUUGUCAUCAGAAUGGUGAGGUUGUCAAAACUGCCAGACAAAUUAUCACGUCUGUGUUACAGGCCGGCGUGCCCUCAGCAAGCACUUUGGAUGAUGGCUGCAGUGUCAAAGUCAACAGUUUCUGCAAGAAAAGAUGCCGCAACACAGAUAUUAAACUCAGCAAAGAAGGGCUGUCGGAAGGGGGGUAAUGUUGCACUGUUUAAUCAGUUUCCUUCUCUAAUAGAACAUCUGAUUAAGCUGUGCUUUCAUCCAGGGCAGCCCAAGGCAAAGGCAAUAAAUAUCUCAACUGAGUUCAGCUCCUUGAAAAGAAUGAUCCCACUAGGAAUUAUCUUACCUGUCCAGCAGUCUCUAACUGUGACUCUGCCGUCAUACGAUUCAAGGGAUUGUCAAGGCUCCAGAUCAAUUUUUUGCACUCAUUUAACUAGAGUUUUGUCCAUUGAUGUUUUUUUUUUUCACAUUUGAGAGUCAAAACUGGCUAGUCAUACUUCACUAGGUUAAUGGUAACUGACAUGCAUGAUCAUUUUCAAUGUCAGGUUGUGUUCCUCGGAAGCGAUGGAGUUGCCCGCCCCUUUUUAUGCAAACCGAAGGAUGGUCUCAGGAAGGAUGCACGCGUGAUGGAGUUCAACGCCGUGAUCAACCGUCUCCUCUCCAAAGUUCCUGAGAGCCGCCGCAGGAGAAAGCUCUACAUCAGAACCUUGGCGGUGGUUCCACUCACAGAAGACUGCGGACUGAACAUGAUGGACGGUUUGGGCAUCGCUCGGUACGAGGGCGUCGUGUUUCUGAAGGUGUGCUGUCGGUGCUGAGGGGCGGCAAGGAGGCUCUGAUGACCCGCUGGUGGAGUGGACCAAGACCAGCAAGUCCAGCGGAGGGGAGCUAGGUCGGCAAUCCACAGGCACAGCACAGUGAUGACCAACAUCGUACAUUUACUAGUACAUACUCCCUCCGUUCUUAAAUAUUUAUCUUUUUAGAGAUUUCAAAUGGACUACAACAUUUAGAUGUAUAUAGACAUAUUUUAGAGUGUAGGUUCACUCAUUUUGCUUCGUAUGUAGUCACUUGUUGAAAUCUCUAGAAAGACAAAUAUUUAGGAACGGAGGGAGUACAUAUUUUGACCACCGCUAAGCAAACUGUGUCUCUCUUGGGCUCAACAAACCGUUUU